rnacentral:rRNA from 1 species
AUACGGAGGGUCCAAGCGUUAAUCGGAAUUACUGGGCGUAAAGCGCGCGUAGGCGGUUUGUCAAGUUGGAUGUGAAAUCCCUGGGCUCAACCUAGGAACUGCAUUCAAAACUUAUAGACUAGAGUACGAUAGAGGAGAGUAGAAUUCCUGGUGUAGCGGUGAAAUGCGUAGAUAUUCGGAGGAACACCAAUUGCGAAGGCAGCUCACUGGGCCGCUAUCGACGCUGAGGAGCGAAAGCUAGGGGAGCAAACAGGAUUAGAUACCCUGGUAGUCCUAGCUGUAAACGAUGGAUACUAGAUGUAGGAACUGGAUUGACGGUUUCUGUAUCGCAGCUAACGCGUUAAGUAUCCCGCUGGGGAGUACGGUCGCAAGACUAAAACUCAAAGGAAUUGACGGGGACCCGCACAAGUAGUGGAGCAUGUGGUUUAAUUCGAAGAUACGCGCAGAACCUUACCAACACUUGACAUGUUCGUCGCGACUUUAAGAGAUU